rnacentral:rRNA from 1 species
AGAGCGAACGCUGGCGGCAGGCCUAACACAUGCAAGUCGAGCGCCCCGCAAGGGGGAGCGGCAGACGGGAGAGUAACACGUGGGAACGUACCCUUCAGUUCGGAACAACCCAGGGAAACUUGGGCUAAUACCGAAUACGUCCGUAAGGAGAAAGAUUUAUCGCUGAAGGAUCGGCCCGCGUCUGAUUAGCUAGUUGGUGAGGUAACGGCUCACCAAGGCGACGAUCAGUAGCUGGUCUGAGAGGAUGAUCAGCCUCACUGAGACUGAGACGCGGCCCAGACUCCUACGGGAGGCAGCAGUGGGGAAUAUUGGACAAUGGGCGCAAGCCUGAUCCAGCCAUGCCGCGUGGGUGAUGAAGGCCCUAGGGUUGUAAAAGCCCUUUCGGCGGGGAAGAUAAUGACGGUACCCGCAGAAGAAGCCCCGGCUAUCUUCGUGCCAGCAGCCGC